UUGGGAAUAUUGGACAAUGGGCGCAAGCCUGAUCCAGCCAUGCCGCGUGAGUGAUGAAGGCCCUAGGGUUGUAAAGCUCUUUCACCGGUGAAGAUAAUGACGGUAACCGGAGAAGAAGCCCCGGCUAACUUCGUGCCAGCAGCCGCGGUAAUACGAAGGGGGCUAGCGUUGUUCGGAUUUACUGGGCGUAAAGCGCACGUAGGCGGACUAUUAAGUCAGGGGUGAAAUCCCGGGGCUCAACCCCGGAACUGCCUUUGAUACUGGUAGUCUUGAGUUCGAGAGAGGUGAGUGGAAUUCCGAGUGUAGAGGUGAAAUUCGUAGAUAUUCGGAGGAACACCAGUGGCGAAGGCGGCUCACUGGCUCGAUACUGACGCUGAGGUGCGAAAGCGUGGGGAGCAAACAGG
rnacentral:rRNA from 1 species